rnacentral:rRNA from 1 species
GACGAACGCUGGCGGCGUGCUUAACACAUGCAAGUCGUACGGUAAGGCCCUUUCGGGGGUACACGAGUGGCGAACGGGUGAGUAACACGUGAGUAACCUGCCCACAACUUUGGGAUAACGCUAGGAAACUGGUGCUAAUACUGGAUAUGUGCUCCUGCUGCAUGGUGGGGGUUGGAAAGCUCCGGCGGUUGUGGAUGGACUCGCGGCCUAUCAGCUUGUUGGUGGGGUAGUGGCCUACCAAGGCGGCGACGGGUAGCCGGCCUGAGAGGGUGACCGGCCACAUUGGGACUGAGAUACGGCCCAGACUCCUACGGGAGGCAGCAGUGGGGCAUAUUGCACAAUGGGCGCAAGCCUGAUGCAGCAACGCCGCGUGCGGGAUGACGGCCUUCGGGUUGUAAACCGCUUUCAGCAGGGACGAAGCUUUUUGUGACGGUACCUGCAGAAGAAGCACCGGCUAACUACGUG